GUCCACGCCGUAAACGAUGGAUACUAGCUGUUGGGCGCAAGCUCAGUGGCUAAGCGAAAGUGAUAAGUAUCCCACCUGGGGAGUACGGGCGCAAGCCUGAAACUCAAAGGAAUUGACGGGGCCCGCACAAGCGGUGGAGCAUGUGGUUUAAUUCGAUGAUACGCGAGGAACCUUACCAAGGCUUAAAUGUAGAUUGACAGGACUGGAAACAGUUUUUCCUUCGGGCAAUUUACAAGGUGCUGCAUGGUUGUCGU
rnacentral:rRNA from 1 species